UUGUACGGCUAUAUACAUGUUCGAGACCUUCGGGUGGCGUUUAUUAGACCUAAAACCAAACCUUUUCGGUACCCGGUGAUUCAUAAUAAACUUGCGAAUCGCAUUUUUUUGCGAUGUAUCAUUCCAAGUUUUCUGACCCUAUCAGCUUUGGACGGUAGGGGUAUUGGCCCUACCGGGGGCAGCGACGGGGUAACGGGGAAUUUAGGGUUCGAUUCCGGAGAGGGAGCCUGCGAAACGGCUACCACAUCUAAGGAAGGCAGCAGGCGCGCAAAUUACCCAAUCCUGACACAGGGAGGUAGUGACAAGAAAUACCAAUACGGGGCUUACUGUCUUGUAAUUGGAAUGAUGGGAAUUUACACCUCUUCCAGAGUAUCAAUUGGAGGGCAAGUCUGGUGCCAGCAGCCGCGGUACUUCCAGCUCCAAUACCGUAUAUUAAAAUUGUUGCAGUUAAAAAGCUCGUACUUGAAUUUCUGCUGCAUUUCAUUUCUCUUUCUGAGUUUGUUUUUGCGGCUUAUUUCGGUUUGCUUUUUUCUUUCCGGAUGCUUACUUUGCGAAAAUUACAGUGCUCAAAGCAGGCUUUUGCCUUGCAUAGUUUACCAUGGAAUAAUAAAGUACGACUUUGGUUCUAUUUUUGUUGGUUUUAGGUACCAAAGUAAUGGUUACUACGAACAGUUGGGGGCAUUCGUAUUUUACCUGUCAGAGGUGAAAUUCUUAGAUUUUGUUAAAGACGAACUACUGCGAAAGCAUUUGCCAAGGAUGUUUUCCAUUAAAUCAAGAACGAAAGUUAGGGGAUCAGAAGACGAUCAGAUAACCGUCGUAGUCCUAACCAUAAACUAUGCUGGCUCAGAG
rnacentral:rRNA from 1 species